ensembl:lncRNA
CCUUGACCACCCAGGCCAGGUAGAGGGCGAACCACUCCUUGGUGGGGUGUUGUAGGGACACCUGCUUGGCCUCACUGUGCCUUUCCCCGGGGGCAGAAUCUGGCUGUGUUGUCCUUGAAUGGCUCCCUCCUGGUCCACACCUGCACGGCCAGCCUGGCAGCUCAGGUAUCUUCUGGGGACACGUUCGCACGGGCCCACAUCCACACAGCCCGCAGCCACCGCCAUACCCAUCUGGAUGCCAGCCUCCAGCAUGCAUGGCCUCCCCUUCAGGCUCUGGGGGUUGCCCCCGACAACCACAUCCAGCUGUCUGUGGGGGGACACGAACCCCCCAGGGCCGGGCUGGAGGUGGCCCUGGGCCAGUGCACCCUGACCGCUCGUGGGGAUAUCGGUGCUGAGGCCAACACCACUCACACCAACUGGACCCUGUCCCUGGUGAAUCGCUGUCCUCUGCUGGAGGUGACGGGCAUCCCGCAGGCCCUGCACUCCGAGGGCAGCCUGAGCUGGGGCCCCUGCGAGGUCAGUCUGGCCACGGGCCUCCGCAGCGACCAUGGGGAUGCCCACCUGCAGCUGGCCCGCACCUGUGGGUCCCAGACCUCGGUCGUCGGGCGCCUGGGCCACUCCCUGCCCCUGCUGGGCCGCCUGGGCCUGCCACCCAGCAGCGCCAUCAGCCUGGCUGUCCAGCCCCGCCCUGCCGCCCGCAGCUCCCUGGCCGUCCAGCUGGGGCCAUGCCAGCUGCAGGGGACGCUGGAUCACCGCACUGGGCACCAGAGCGCAUGGACACUGGCCACCGAACCCGGCUGCCCUCUGCUGGAGGGCCUGGGCCUCCCAGCAGGGACAGAGCUCAGUGGCUCCCUGAAGACCGAAGGUGGGGAAGCAGAGGUGUCCGGGGCCCUCGCAUGGGCUGGCCAGACCGCCUCCCUGACCUUGGCGGCGGCCGUGCACCAGUCCGAGGCCACACUCCGAGUGAAGCUAAGUCACGCGCUGCCGGCACUGCAGACCGUCCCCCCAGAGGCCUUGCUGACCGUCCAGCUUGGGUGGGAGGCCGGGCACCGGCUGGGUCUGGAGCUACAGGUGGGGGCCUGUGAGCUGCAGGGCAGUGGUGAGCUGCACCUGGACCGUGGGCUACAGUGGCAGGUGCUCGCCCAGAGCUCCUGUGAGGCCCUGCAGGUAGGCGGUGCUUCGGUGUGGGGGGAGUGGGCCUCAGGGUCUCCAGGGGGCAGGGCAGGGACCUUCUUUUCGACCACUGGGGAAACAAGGGGGAUUGACUGAACCCCAGUGGAAGGGACUCGUCAAAUACUUAUUGAGCCCACCUGGUGCCCUGGAAAUACAUCCAUGAACCAAGCAGAGGCAAAUGCCUGCCUGGGGGAGACAUGCAAUCCCUGGCAUACAUCAGCCAAGGGCAGACUCUAUUACCUAGUGAUAAGGACUACGGGGAGGCAGAAAGUGGGAAUGGGGGAUGAACGACAGGACAGAUACUGCAAUUUUUGUAAGUCGGUCAAGAUUGGCCCUAAAGACAAGAUGACAUUUGAGCAGAGACUUGAAGGAGAGGAAGGAGGAGCCGUGUGGAAGUCUAGGGAAAG